GACGAACGCUGGCGGCGUGCUUAACACAUGCAAGUCGAACGAAGUGGCGAACGGGUGAGUAACGCGUAAUCAACCUGCCCUUCAGAGGGGGACAACAGUUGGAAACGACUGCUAAUACCGCAUAUUGAAGCAGGGGAUUGCGUGGGAUUAGCUAGUUGGAGGGGUAACGGCCCACCAAGGAGGUGAUCAGUAGCCGGUCUGAAAGGGAGAACGGGCCACUUGGGGAUGGGGAAACGCCCAAGCUCCUACGGGAGGGAGUCGUGGGGAAUCAUCCGAAAUGGACGAAAGUCUGACGGCGCCAAGCCGCGUGAGUUAUGACGGCCUUCGGGUUGUAAAGCUCUGUUAAUCGGGACGCGGUACCGGAAUAGAAAGCAACGGCUAACUACGUGCCAGCAGCCGCGGUAAUUC
rnacentral:rRNA from 1 species